AGGCUGCUUCCAUUGAAGUGUUUCAGAGGGUAUAUACACCUCCAGACACCUCUUGGCUCUUUGGAGUUUAUAAGGAGCCGGCACCGAAACUGAACUCUAGCUAUAUUCCAGAGAUGUUCCCAAACAAAUUACCUGUCGGUGCAAGCUUCAAGAGGGACACUUAAUGGCCAAGCCCAUUCAUCCUGUGAGCGAGGGAAGGAAAGUCAGUCUGUUGAAGAACGUUGAGAAAUUUCUGAGCCUAGGCCUACUGCUGUCGUCAUGCCUGAGACGUCCUCCAUCUGAGAUUUGCCAGAGCUAUUCUACCUGACUCUGGAAUGCUUCGAGGGCAAUAAAAAUCAAGUAGAAGAGGUGCCAACUCAAGUCCUGAGUGAUGACGGAGGUACAUUUCAAGCACCAUGGAAAUCUCACUGGGCGGGCACAUUUCCCCACGCUGGCCACAGAGGUUGAUACAACUUCAGAUAAGUAUUCCAACCUGUACAUGUAUGUGGGCUUGUUCCUGAGCCUCCUGGCCAUUCUUCUCAUCCUGCUCUUUACAAUGCUCCUUCGGCUCAAACAUGUCAUCUCACCCAUAACCACCGAGAGCACAGAAAGUGUUCCUCAGUUCACAGAUGUGGAGAUGCAGAGUCGAAUCCCUACUCCUUAAAGCAGGGCAAAGGUGAGCUUCGGUGACUCUCAGAGAACUCUUGUAUGUCGACGUUCCAGAACAUUUAGUCGGUUGCAUGUAGUUUCCCACCUAGAGUAUCAAGUAAUUAUUCCUGUUUACCUUUUUGCUACUCUUUAUUUCAACUUUGCUUGUGGGGUAUCUAAGAGGCUUAAAAUUUGUUCUUUGUGAGCAAUAUAGGAAAUGGCAGCUUGUUGGGAGGGCAGGUUUCCAUAGUAACCAAAGAGAGCCUGGGCCUUGAGCAAACUUCAGACCAGAGAAGUUCUUAUGCAGCUGUUACAAGAAACGCAAGAUCCAUAGAAGCUCCAAGAACAACGAAUUUGCCUUCAAGAACUGAUUGUUCAAAGAGGGUACCCCCCCAAAAGGAACACAAUUAAGUUAGCACUUGGGCCUUAAAAAAUCGCCUCUGCUGACAUGAAGCUAAAUCACAUCAGAGGUGAAUGGGAGGGGACCGCUAACCUGUUCCCAAAGGGACAAUGAUUUGAUCAUCUAAGGUCACUGGGCUUGCCCCAAAUGAAAGAAGAGAUUUAAAGAAACUUUCAUUUAAAGAGCAAGUUUGCAGAAAGAAAUUGCUAGUCAGUAGACUCGCCUGUAGUGGGAAAAUGUGCAUUUUAUAUCUGUGUUAUUACUAUUACUGGACUUUUAAAAAUGCAGAUAAUGGUAGAUGUAUUACAAAACUUUGGAAUGAUGAGCUACCCCCAAAGAUGGGGAGUAAUAAUAAGUCAAAAUAUGCUCACAACAAUAAGACUUACAUUAUACGUGCAGGGUCUUUGCCUUUUUCUCCCUCCCCAUCACACUACAAGAUUGAGUUGCACGCAGAUAUGAGCUUUGUUUAAAGGGGGCCUUGGCAAAGAAGAAUGAACUAUACUUUAAAGCAAAAACAAAAUAGUCUUGGUAUCGUAUCUAUCAUUGCAUAAUUGUGGCUUUGAACAGAAAUUUCAAGCCUCUGGGCCCCAGUUUUUUCUUCAGAAAAAUGACCAAAGUUAUUUAUUCAUCUCUAGACUCCUUUUAGAUCUAACUGUCAGAAAAACAGAGGAGGGAAGGACUAAACAACACCCUCCCACCAAUCCUUAGAGAUCAAUUCCUCAAGUGUCACACUUGUCUUUCCCAAAAAUGUUCCCCCCACCUAUCCCUGCCAAAAGACGAAGUGUCUCACUUAUCUAUACAAGAAAUAUAUUUUGAAAAGUCCCAUCCCUAUAAGUAGCCCUAGUGUGCCCAUAGUGGAGAAAGAUUUUUAAAGUAACAUUAUAAAGGGGAACCAAAGGAGAUGAGUAGUAUUUACAAAUCAGAAAUUUCAAGACGAUUAUAAUCUUGCCACCAAAGAACUAAAUACACCUGUGUUAAAUCCUGCCAGCUUAAAAAAAAAAUAGGUUCUCUCCUGCCCCUAAAUAGUGGUCAUCAAAUUUCACAGGGUGCUCCCACGGGAACUCAGUGGAGGUGAGAGAAGGGGAGUGGACAUCAGGUGGAUGCCACCUUCACAGAAAGGCAGCUCUCUCUAGUCUGUACCCGAUUUAGAUUGGCCCCUUUACUCUGAUCUAAAUCUAGCAUGGUGGUGAAAUUCCCUAGUGCUUUCUACUUUUAUAAACAGUCAUUUGCCAAUACUUGCCUCUCCAAGGGGCUGCAAAGUGUAAAAUCCCCACACGCAGGGCUAAACUUAGCAGCAAGGCUGACUCGGGCACACCUGUUACAACAGAGUACCGUAAGAGAUGGCAGCUGCAAGGUGCACCCAUCAGACGAGAUCAGCAGGUAGGCUAAGACUCGAGAAGGGUGACAAUUCCCUUUUGGCAUUAUGUUUUCCAAAAUGCAAAGUGAUUUGUAUAUUAUUUCGUUUGGUGGCUGAAGUUGUGUGUUUAUGCAACACUCGAACUCCAUAUACCCUUUAAAAAUUCAGCUCUGGAGCUAUGCAAGACUUCACUGCCAGCAGACCCCAGAACUUCUUCUGGACACACAUCUCCCCUCACUCCAAGCUCUCCCUUUUGUGCUCACAGUAUUUAAAUGCACUUUACAAUGAAGAUGUCAAUGGCUGGAUAAUUAAAGGAACUGAUUACACUUUCUCGACAGUAGCAAAUAGCAAGAUACCCAAUCAAUGCCUCGUUGCUGAAUCCGAUGAAGAAAAAGGGUAAAUCUACUCCUUGCCCACGCACCUUCCCCAACCCAACUUUCACAAGUUUAAAUGCUCUUUAAUCACCAACUUGGAUGGAGAUUCCUGAUUAGGCUACUCACCUGAAAAACAACCACCCUCUUUCAUCACAACUACUCUCAUGGGAUCCAGAUCUUCAAUGAGCUUUAGCCAGAACACACCACAUGGAUUGUGCUAAAAUAGCAGCAUAACCCCCACAGUUUCCCGUGAUAACAUAGUGGACAUGCAUUUGAGCAGAUGUGUCAUUAUGAUGACUCGCGUGGUAUUUAAUCUUUAGGAAAGAAACUCAAUGUUUUCAUCCUAGCAAACUUACUGUAAAGAAAAGAAUUUUUGCAUUAUUAGAAAAUUGUUAAUCUAUCCCCAUUGUAUUAAUUAGCAUUUAUUACUGCUCAAAGAGGCAGCUAGAGCAACCAGAGGGCACUGUUUGAAUGUAUGCAUCCAUUCAAAACGCUCACUUGGCCAUUUUUUUCCCUCUUUAGAAAAUUGUAUGUUAGCUAAAUGGAUAGAGACAGGUCAGUUAUUUAUCUACAGGUUUACUCUGUUUUAAGGAGAAAGAACGAUUCUUUACUUUUUAUUAUCCUAAGCCAAGUGAAAUUGCCAUUUCUGCAGGUCAAAAAUGCUUAAAUAUCAGCAGCUUAAUAUAAUUCCACCUAAUAAAAAGACUCACCAUAUGAAUACUUUAACUAGUAAACUCUCCUAAUAUGUUUAAAAAUAAUUUAGUUUCUGAAGAGGUACUUUUCAUACAUUUCAGAAACUUGGCCUGUAUAAAACAAGGUGUACUGUACAAGGUUAAUGUAAUAUGUAUUACGUAUUAGGCAAGGAGUAUAUGGCUCGUCCAGCAAAGUCAGGUUCAUCCAGCCUAACCAUUCCAUCCAUGCCAAAUCUGAAGCUUAGGACUCAUAAUUGAGUUUGUCUGCUGCAAAGCCCCACCAUUCUUACAAAGUAGGUAAAAGGGGUCCAUUUAAUGCAGUUAAAUGGUUUUACUUAAUAAUCCAUUUUACUGCAUUUGUACAAAAAAAUUUAUAACAAAAUGAAUUGUGUGGAAGGAAAAAAUUGGGUUUCUUUUAUUUGAAGUCAUUAAUAUUUGGAAUAGAUUCCUCUUAUAUAAAAACAACUAUAAUAUCUGAAUUAAUAUUUAGCAUGUCAUGUUUGAGCCCUGGAAAACAAGUGCUAACUCCUCUUUGGUUUGCUAGUACAUGUCUACUGGCUGAAGAAUGUAAAGAGCAUCAGUCUCUUCAUCCCAAAUAAAUUGUAACAAUUACAGAGUUGUGGGAUUUACAAUUUUGAGAUGAUAAUUUUUUUUCUUAUUCUGUAACCCUUCCCAGCACCCCAGCUUUUGUUUCUCUCCAUUUACAAAAGCGUUUGUUUCCCUAGUAGUAAGAUGUUAAAAAAUGAUUCAUGACUGUCCGAUGUUAAUGAAGCUGAUUUGAGGUAAGAGUAAGAGAAAGUCUGGCAAGUGUCUACCUUGUAGGGACUUCGAGAAUGUGUUUUCUGUUUCAUAUUUUCUUCACUUGAUACUCCUAGCAACCCCAGGGACAGUGAGUGGAGGUAUUUUGAAGGUUGUUUUUACAAAAGAGGAUGUGAGCAGGGAGAUUACUGAGGCAUGCAUGGUUACACAAAGCCCAAGUCAAGGUUACACUGCUGGCCUUUGGACCACUAGUUUAGAGCUCAGCCCACCAAGCUUUGCUUUUUGAGCACCGGAUACUCUUUCAAAGCUCUCUCUUCUGUAACAGUCCAAGGACCACAAAUGAUUGGAUUCUAUAUGUGAUGAACUCAUUGUGCUCAAAUUCAAAACAAAUAAGCAGAAUUCGGACAACUAUUUAAAUAAUUUUAUAGCUGCAGCAUUAGAAUGUGGGGAAGUCUACACAAAGGUAGAGCCUAUAGCUUUAAUUUCCUUGCAUGGAAAAUUGUGGCAGAAAUAUAGGUACAUUCUCACCCACAAUGCAAAUCCUAAUCCUCUGAUUGUUUGACUUAGUAUCCACAGUCAAUGCUAAUUCUUCAUGUGCAUGGUUAUUAUUUCUCCCCGCCUCACCUAGAAAUGGGAACACCUCCUUUUAGGUAAAAAUAUUAUUCUUUAAAAUUGUAUAAUGUUCUAACUGUUCACAGCAAUUCCAUCUGUGCUCUAUAAAAAAGGUAACGACAUUAAAAGGGAGAGAAUUACAGGCCAGUGAAAUUUCCCCUAGAUGCAAAGAAUGAAUUAUUAUACUUCAUAGAAAAAGGAGGUAGAAUUAUAGAACAUAUGUAGAAUAGGAAAAGGAAAUGCACGUAUUAAAUACGGGUGAGGAGACUUUGGAGAAUUGCAUGAGCAUUUCCAGGUAUUCCAAUUCAUUUCCACAUAAAGUAUUCAUUGAUUAAACCAUCCACAAAAAUGAGACAAUAUAAGAGACAGAUUAAACAGUGUACUGGGCUAGGCUCUGCAGGGAUCUGAAGUUUGUAAUCAAGUUUACAAUCUUGCAAAGAUAAGUAGCUCAUUUCUUUCAGUUAUUCAUUCAUUCACUCACUCAAUCUAUCAGUAGAUAUUUAUUUAGCACCUACUCUAAGUGCUAGGAAUGAAAGCAAAACACAUUUAAUGCUCCAGUGAAAGUUUCAAUUUACUGGAAUAUAUAGCAACCAACACAAAAAUACUGUGGUAUAAAGAAGUACAGGGU